rnacentral:rRNA from 1 species
CAAUAGCGUAUAUUAAAGUUGUUGCGGUUAAAAGCUCGUAGUUGGACUUCUGUUGAGGAGAGCCGGUCCGCACAACGUGCGUGUUAUCUGGUUUCGCCUCGGCAUCCUCUCAGAAUACGUUUCUGCGCUUGAUUGCGUGGUGCGGAGUCUGGGACUUUUACUUUGAGGAAAUUAGAGUGUUCACGGCAGGCGUUCGUCAUGAAUAUAUUAGCAUGGAAUAAUAAUAUAGGAUCUUGGUUCUAUUUUGUUGGUUUCUAGAAUUGAGAUAAUGAUUAAUAGGGACAAUUGGGGGCAUUCGUAUCAACAUGUCAGAGGUGGAAUUCUUGGAUUAUGUUGCGACGAACUACUGCGAAAGCAUUUGCCAAGGAUGUUUUCAUUGAUCAAGAACGAAAGUAAGGGGAUCGAAGACGAUUAGAUACCAU